rnacentral:misc_RNA from 1 species
AAAAAAAAAAUUUUUUUUCUUUUUUUUUUUUGUUGGUUUAAAUGACUAAAUCAUCCCAUUUUCUUAAUCAACCACAUCAGGAGUUUUUGUGAAAAAAAGAAAGUGUGGGUGGUAUAGUGUUUUUAUCAAAUAAAAAAUUAAAGUAGAAUGGAGUGUACUUAAGAAAUUUGGCAUGGGAAUAACCAUACCUUUUCCUUUUCGGAAACAAGUUACUUUCUGCUUUAUAAUAAAUCAUCUUUGAAAUAGUGGGAUUCUUGUUUAGUUGUUUGGUAAGCUGGUUUCAUGUAUAUGCCGGCAAUCCAUUUGUACAUGUUGUCACACCUAACUAGCACUUCUC